CCGAAGCCGGUGAGGUAACCGCAAGGAGCCAGCCGUCGAAGGUGGGGGCGAUGAUUGGGGUGAAGUCGUAACAAGGUAGCCGUAUCGGAAGGUGCGGCUGGAUCACCUCCUUUCUAGGGA
rnacentral:rRNA from 1 species